rnacentral:rRNA from 1 species
CAGUAGCCGCGGUAAUACGUAGGUGGCAAGCGUUGUCCGGAAUUAUUGGGCGUAAAGGGCUCGCAGGCGGUUUCUUAAGUCUGAUGUGAAAGCCCCCGGCUCAACCGGGGAGGGUCAUUGGAAACUGGGAAACUUGAGUGCAGAAGAGGAGAGUGGAAUUCCACGUGUAGCGGCGAAAUGCGUAGAGAUGUGGAGGAACACCAGUGGCGAAGGCGACUCUCUGGUCUGUAACUGACGCUGAGGAGCGAAAGCGUGGGGAGCGAACAGGAUUAGAGACCCGAGUAGUCCCUGUCUCUUAUAC